CUCAGCCCUUUAAACUCACAAAAAUAACUUCUUUUAGGGCAGUUUGCGUCGGUUCCACUGCAGUUAACAAAAGGGUCUCCACGUUCAUGUACCUGUGCGGUUUUCAAGAACACGUUCUCAUUGCACACAGUUAUUACCACUCCAUAUACUUCUCAUUCACAAUUCCUCAUGCUCCUUCCAGAAUACAUCUUGAUGUACCGUUAACAACAAUCAUCCCAACAACAAUGGCGGCUUAUAGAUUGGAUCGUUUAGCAAUCUCGGAGAUGAUGUCGGCGAUUCUGAGUUUCAUUUUGUCCAUAGAUCUGCCCUAAUUUCUUCAUUAUUCACAGAUAUGAAACGAUUACGAGAUGACAUGUUUAGUAAUCCACAAAUAAAGCAACCUUUUGGCUCUUUGUGUGGAGACUGGAGAAUAGUAUGUUAUUGUUUUUAUUUUUGAUUUUGUCGCGUUGUUAAUUUUGAUUAGUUUAUUGUUUUUUUAUUUGUUUUUUUUUGUUAAUGUCGGUGGUUAUUUUGUUUAAUUGUGUGUGAAUUUGAAUUUUGUUGACUAAUUAGAGUUGCAUGCACCUAUUCCAGCAGAUUUGAGUAUCAUAAAAUGAUGAUACACACCAAUUUGACAUCAUCAUGCCUUGGUGAUAUUUUUUUUAGUUUUUCUUUUGCUGUUUCUUUUUAAUUUUAUUUUCUACGUGAUGUUUAUCAUGAGUGAAUUGACCUGAAUUCCCCAUUUUCUUUUGAAUUUGUAGGUAUUGUUGUGAUUAUUGCCAUACUUACUUGACGCAUGAUUUUUCUGUGUAUCUAGAUGGUUUAGGCAAACAUGACUGCAUAGGGUCUUUAUGGAUACAAGGUCUCUAUAGCAAUUUCCCUUAUUCUUGGAGAUGGGUUCUACAAUUUGAUAACGAUAAUAGUGCUCGCUAUUAAGGUUUUCUUCAACACCUCCAGACAAGAAGAUCUCCCUGUGAUAAAGGACUUACCAGGCG